AAUGAACGCUGGCGGCGUGCCUAACACAUGCAAGUCGGAUGUGCCCGCAAGGGUGCAUGGCAGACGGGUGAGUAACGCGUGGGGAAUCUACCUUUUAGUGGGGAAUAACGCUCCGAAAGGAGUGGUAAUACCGCAUGUGACCAUCGGCUGGGAUGCUGAUGGUGAAACCCUGGGACCUUCGGGCCAGGGGCUAGAAGAGGAUCCUGCGUCUGAUUAGCUAGUUGGCGGGGUAACGGCCCACCAAGGCGACGAUCAGUAGCCGGCCUGAGAGGGUGAUCGGCCACACUGGAACUGAGACACGGUCCAGACUCCUACGGGAGGCAGCAGUGGGGAAUUUUGCGCAAUGGACGAAAGUCUGACGCAGCAACGCCGCGUGGGUGAUGAAGGUCUUCGGAUUGUAAAACCCUGUCGCCAGGGACGAAGGGUGGGGCGUGAAUAGCGUUCACUUUGACGGUACCUGGAAAGGAAGCCCCGGCUAACUCUGUGCCAGCAGCCGCGGU
rnacentral:rRNA from 1 species